rnacentral:rRNA from 1 species
AGCAGCCGCGGUAAUUCCAGCUCCAAUAGCGUAUAUUAAAGUUGCUGCAGUUAAAAAGCUCGUAGUUGAAUUUCGGGACUAAUAUGUCGGUCGUGCCUCGGUACGUACUGGCUUAUUGGUUUCUCCUUUCUGAAGAACCAUGAUGUCAUUUAUUUGGUGUCGUGGGGAAUCAGGACUGUUACUUUGAAAAAAUUAGAGUGUUUAAAGCAGGCUCACGCUUGGAUACAUUAGCAUGGAAUAAUGAAAUAGGACGUUUGAUUCUAUUUUGUUGGUUUCUAGGAUCGACGUAAUGAUUAAUAGGGAUAGUUGGGGGCAUUAGUAUUCAAUUGUCAGAGGUGAAAUUCUUGGAUUUAUUGAAGACUAACUACUGCGAAAGCAUUUGCCAAGGAUGUUUUCAUUAAUCAAGAACGAAAGUUAGGGGAUCGAAGACGAUCAGAUACCGUCGUAGUCUUAACCAUAAACUAUGCCGACUAGGGAUCGGAUGAUGUUAAUUUUUAAUGACUCAUUCGGCGCCUUACGG